CAAUGUAGCUGGCGGUCUGAGUACUAUUUUUGCUUCUUUGGAGCAGUCAUUCUGCAUUGUCCUGCAUACAGUUGUGGAACACAGCAGUUACAAGUGCUACUAUCAAUAUUUGUGGCAGAGAAAGAGAGGACUGCAGAUGCUGGAGAUCAGAGUCGAGAGUGUGGUGCAGGAAAAGCACAGCAGGCAGUGCCCCAGGAUAUUUAACAUCCACCUGAGAACACCUUAUUGAAAAGAUAGUACCAGGAACAGUGUAGCACACCCUCAACACCUGACUGAAUUGUGUUACAAUCAUAGUGAAAAUGUACUACCAAUACUCAAAUUUCAUCACUUGAAUUUAAAAUUUGAAACUUUCAAGAACUAAACUCAGCUUUAAAGAAGGACAAAUGCUGAUCUAAAAUUGCUGUUGUGAUAACCUGACAGGUUGAGCAAGGCUCUUGAGACCAUCUGUCAACAAGGAAUCAGUCUGAUCAAAAAUUCAUAUUGUUAUAAAAAUGUACUGAAAUUUAAAUCUGUAUAUUCUGCUUGAUUUGUGCCUUUUUGAAAAUUGCACAUUGAGAUCAAAGGUUGUCUACAGGGUAUUCAGCUUGGAGAAACAAUGAACAGAUUCAGGAAUAUACAAAUGGACCUUUAUCAACAGCUGCUUCUGAGUAGCAGGGCAAAGACAAGAAAAAAUAGAUUUGUGAACAAGGACUGGAAGACCAUCUCUUAGCAAAUCUCUCUCUCUCUCUCAACUUCAAACUCAUUGAUGAAUAGCAACUUGGAACACCAAGCAUGAUUCAUUAAGAACUCCUGGACAUCUGCAACUUCACCAUGUCUAAGGAAACAAGAGAGCAGCCAAACAGGUGGACUCAAACAGGUUACCAAAAAAGGUAACUCUUGCAACUCAAAAAAAACAGUGAAUUGUAACAGUUUUUCACUUUCUAUCUGUACCAAACACUUCCCCUUUCUUAAUAAGGUCAUUACCUGUGUUUUUUGAGUGUGUUUGUUGUCACGCAUUAUUAUUUCUUCAGGUAAUAAACCUUCACUCUCUUUCAC